GACGAACGCUGGCGGCGUGCUUAACACAUGCCAGUCGAACGGAAAGGCCCUGCUUUUGUGGGGUGCUCGAGUGGCGAACGGGUGAGUAACACGUGAGUAACCUGCCCUUGACUUUGGGAUAACUUCAGGAAACUGGGGCUAAUACCGGAUAGGAGCUCCUGCUGCAUGGUGGGGGUUGGAAAGUUUCGGCGGUUGGGGGUGGACUCGCGGCUUGUCAGCUUGUUGGUGGGGUAGUGGCUUACCAAGGCUUUGACGGGUAGCCGGCCUGAGAGGGUGACCGGCCACAUUGGGACUGAGAUACGGCCCAGACUCCUACGGGAGGCAGCAGUGGGGAAUAUUGCACAAUGGGCGGAAGCCUGAUGCAGCAACGCCGCGUGCGGGAUGACGGCCUUCGGGUUGUAAACCGCUUUCGCCUGUGACGAAGCGUGAGUGACGGUAAUGGGUAAAGAAGCACCGGCUAACUACGUG
rnacentral:rRNA from 1 species